ensembl:lncRNA
AUGAUCUUUGCAGUCUGGUAUCGUAGGAGGGAAGGACAGCGUGUCAACGGCCUUGCAAAGUAUCAAUUAAUGUCUUUAACAGACUGUAACGGCUCAGAUAUUUCAUACAGUGAAACCUCCCACAUGUGGUCUGUGCUUACGGUUCAAAGUUCCUCCUCCCGGACCCCCCUAAAGGGAGUCUGUGAACAUGUAUCAUUCAUGUCUGGUUGUACUUUCCAAUUGCCAGCUAGAGGUAAACAGAAAGAUUCCACCGCCAUUGCAAGUGAAAGGACACAUAGCAUAGAGAAGAUGAGUUGCAUCUGCAAGUCGUGCGAGUGGAGGAUUGUGUGUGCGUCUCCUUUCCUGCCUGUGAGGGUGCAUGUGUGUCACCAUGAAGCAUCAGUCUAUCUCUCGAUGGCUGAGCCAGCUGGGAUUGCCAGAAUACUGCCCAGCGCUGGAGCAGGAAUAUGACGGUGUGGAG